rnacentral:rRNA from 1 species
GCAGGAGCUUGCUCCUGUGGAAAGUGGCAGACGGGUGAGUAACGCGUGGGAAUUUACCCAGUGGUUCGGAAUAACUCCGGGAAACGGGAGCUAAUACCGGAUACGCCCUUCGGGGGAAAGAUUUAUCGCCAUUGGAUGAGCCCGCGUCGGAUUAGCUUGUUGGUGAGGUAAAAGCUCACCAAGGCGACGAUCCGUAGCUGGUCUGAGAGGAUGAUCAGCCACACUGGGACUGAGACACGGCCCAGACUCCUACGGGAGGCAGCAGUGGGGAAUAUUGCGCAAUGGGGGAAACCCUGACGCAGCCAUGCCGCGUGAGUGAAGAAGGCCUUAGGGUUGUAAAACUCUUUCACCGGUGAAGAUAAUGACGGUAGCCGGAGAAGAAGCCCCGGCCAACUCCGUGCCAGCAGCCGCGGUAAUACGGAGGGGGCUAGCGUUGUUCGGAUUUACUGGGCGUAAAGCGCGCGUAGGCGGGCUGGUCAGUUGGGGGUGAAAUCCCGAGGCUCAACCUCGGAACUGCCCUCAAUACUGCCAGUCUUGAGUUCGAGAGAGGUGAGUGGAAUUCCUAGUGUAGAGGUGA